CACGUAGGGCGCAAGCGUUGUCCGGAAUUAUUGGGCGUAAAGAGCUCGUAGGCGGUCUGUUGCGUCUGCUGUGAAAACUCGGGGCUUAACCCCGAGCCUGCAGUGGAUACGGGCAGACUAGAGGUAGGUAGGGGAGAAUGGAAUUCCCGGUGUAGCGGUGAAAUGCGCAGAUAUCGGGAGGAACACCGGUGGCGAAGGCGGUUCUCUGGGCCUUACCUGACGCUGAGGAGCGAAAGCUAGGGGAGCAAACAGG
rnacentral:rRNA from 1 species